rnacentral:rRNA from 1 species
GACGAACGCUGGCGGCGUGCUUAACACAUGCAAGUCGAACGGAAAGGCCCUGCUUGCAGGGUACUCGAGUGGCGAACGGGUGAGUAACACGUGGGUGAUCUGCCCUGCACUUCGGGAUAAGCCUGGGAAACUGGGUCUAAUACCGGAUAGGAGCCAUUUUUAGUGUGAUGGUUGGAAAGUUUUUUCGGUGUAGGAUGAGCUCGCGGCCUAUCAGCUUGUUGGUGGGGUAAUGGCCUACCAAGGCGGCGACGGGUAGCCGGCCUGAGAGGGUGGACGGCCACAUUGGGACUGAGGUACGGCCCAGACUCCUACGGGAGGCAGCAGUGGGGAAUAUUGCACAAUGGGCGCAAGCCUGAUGCAGCGACGCCGCGUGGGGGAUGACGGCCUUCGGGUUGUAAAAUCCUUUCGCUAGGGACGAAGCUUUUUGUGACGGUACCUAGAUAAGAAGCACCGGCUAACUACGUG